UAGGACUACGAGCUCACUUAUGCAAAAUCGGUGCAGCAAGUGAUAGCAUGUGUAGGGGAUUGCGGAGAAGAUAAUGAGACGUUAGAGCAUUUCCUAAGUCAUUGCCCGGCAUUCGAGGCUAUCAGAUAAACGCAUUUAGGUGGGGAUACAAUACCAGACAUGAACCAACUGAGGAGCGCGCCAUGGAAAGCAAUUAAGGAUUUUGUAAAUAGCACGGAAUUCCUAACUUAGAUUUUCUUUUUCGAUGUUACUUUUUUUAAGGGCGCCCCGGUAGCCGAGUUGGUAGCGUGCGUUUAGCAUUAAAUUGUUUAAAUUUUUUUUCUUAAAAUAACAUAUAAUUUAAAUAUACUUAUACAACCGGAUAUGUCACUUUUUGUCCUAAGCAAAAUCUGUCGUCAGAAAAGUCUGAAUAAAAAUGAAUAUGAAGUUUCAGUUUGGUCGUGGCGCAUAGGUUGCAAAUCCGUCUUUGACCCUAGCCAUAUGAGUUGCGUUGCUAUCCAUAAUCGACCCGAAAAUUCAAUGAACUGAGAGUGUAAUGUCUAUCAUUUCGAAAGUCUAUUUAUAUGGCAAACAAAUCAUGAUCACUAAACUCCUCAAUCCCAUGGCAGCAGGUUCUACGUAUCAGAUUGACCCGGUGGAGUUCUUCAUCGGCAAGGGGUGCCUUCUCAGUGCAUAACACACUGCUAUAACAACAAAAACAACUUGACUCCUAUUGGAAAAAAACUAACGAAGUUUAAAACUCAAUUCUUUAUGUAAUAAAAAAGAAACACAUUCAUAAUUUCUUGCCGAAAAUAUAAUGCAAUAUUCACGAAUAUUCCGCUAAGGAACUGCAAGGAUACUUCUCUCAUAUCAAUUAGUGCUAUCCGAUGCGAUAAGCUCUAUGUUAAGGAAACUCCUUUGUAUUGCUGAGUCCGAACGACUUGCCGCAGAGCGACAACAUUUAGUAGAGAAACUUACACAGCUGAUUAUCUAAACUCAAUACCUCGCAAGAGUCGCACACCCCUCAAAAUUUUUUCUGAUGUCCUCCCCGAGAUUUGAACCCAGACCUUUUGCGCCAUAGCUACGCUGACCGAAAGUAUAUUAAUAAAACAAAACAAAAUAUUGCUGAAUUAAAAUUCUAUAAUAUAUUUUUCUCUAUCCAUA